UCCGUAGGCGGGCGAUUAAGUCAGAGGUGAAAUCCCACAGCUCAACUGUGGAACUGCCUUUGAUACUGGUUGUCUUGAGUUAUAGUGAAGUAGAUAGAAUAUGUAGUGUAGCGGUGAAAUGCAUAGAUAUUACAUAGAAUACCGAUUGAGAAGGCAGUCUACUAACUGUAUACUGACGCUAAUGGACGAAAGCGUGGGGAGCGAACAGGAUUAGAUACCCUGGUAGUCC
rnacentral:rRNA from 1 species